CUCUCAGCCACCAGUCACCUCUUCCCCCAACCCCCUGACCUCCCACUUCUCUUCUCAAUUCAACUGCUCUUCAGGAUUUCUGGUUGCACUACCUCUGGAGACAAGACUCUAGCAUUUGUUCUUAGUUACCUGACCCUCAGGAAGAUUUAGGCUUUUUUUUUUUCUCCCAUCUCACCUUGUAUAAAUAUGUCUUCUCAGUAUAGUAAUGUCAUUGGAUUGAGGAUACUUGUUUGCAGAGGAGGCAAGAAUGCGUUGUUCCGUUUUUGAAUUCCACACAUCUAAUAUGGAGCCUGAGCCACAGGGCUCAAAAUGUUAAGUAAACAAAUGAAUGGGAAAUUAAUAAGAAGAAUGCAUUGGCAAGACCGUG
rnacentral:lncRNA from 1 species